rnacentral:rRNA from 1 species
UGGGGAAUAUUGGACAAUGGGCGCAAGCCUGAUCCAGCAAUGCCGCGUGUGUGAAGAAGGCCUGCGGGUUGUAAAGCACUUUCAGUAGGGAAGAAAAGCCUAGGGUUAAUAACCCUGAGUCUUGACGUUACCUACAGAAGAAGCACCGGCUAAUUCCGUGCCAGCAGCCGCGGUAAUACGGAAGGUGCGAGCGUUAAUCGGAAUUACUGGGCGUAAAGCGCACGUAGGCGGUUGGGUAAGUCGGAUGUGAAAGCCCCGGGCUUAACCUGGGAAUUGCAUUCGAUACUGCUCGACUCGAGUAUGGGAGAGGGUAGCGGAAUUCCGGGUGUAGCGGUGAAAUGCGUAGAUAUCCGGAGGAACAUCAGUGGCGAAGGCGGCUGCCUGGACCAAUACUGACGCUGAGGUGCGAAAGCGUGGGGAGCAAACAGGAUUAGAUACCCCCGUAGUCC